rnacentral:rRNA from 1 species
AUUGAACGCUGGCGGCAUGCCUUACACAUGCAAGUCGAACGGCAGCGGACCUUCGGGUGCCAGCGAGUGGCGAACGGGUGAGUAAUAUAUCGGAACGUACCUUUCAGUGGGGGAUAACGUAGCGAAAGUUACGCUAAUACCGCAUAUUCUGUGAGCAGGAAAGCAGGGGAUCGCAAGACCUUGCGCUGAUUGAGCGGCCGAUAUCAGAUUAGCUAGUUGGUGAGGUAAAGGCUCACCAAGGCGACGAUCUGUAGCGGGUCUGAGAGGAUGAUCCGCCACACUGGAACUGAGACACGGUCCAGACUCCUACGGGAGGCAGCAGUGGGGAAUUUUGGACAAUGGGCGCAAGCCUGAUCCAGCCAUGCCGCGUGAGUGAAGAA